GUACGUGUUAUGCUGCAAGGACAAUACGCAGGAUAGAAAUUCAAAUGGCAUAGGCUUUGCUGAAUAUUUGCUAGGGAACUUAAAAUCGAAUCGAGAAGGAGAUUCUGAUACUUGACAGAAUUGGCUGGGAUAUAUAUUCAGGUAUGGGAUGUGUGCUACUUUGACUCACUUCUAUGAAGAGUACCUGUGAUACUAGCAUGGAUAUGAGAUUCGUUCUUCCCAUUUGUAAAAUAAAAAUUCGUUGCCUAGCUUGUUGAUGUGACAAAAGUACACAUUAUAUCUGCACUUUAGAUGGAUGUAGUAUACAUUUGGCUCUCACUGUUACCAUCAGUGAUACAAAAUCGGGACAUAACGAGAAGAAAAGCUAGGAUGUGGCGCUCACUUUUGGCUAUACAUUUGGCUCCAUUAGAGGUUGAGAUGAUUCUUUUGGCUUCAUUUCAUUAUUUUUUUACCUAGUCAGUUUGAUCGCCAUCGCCCUUGUUGUUUUCUCAAUAUCUUGUCAUUUUAGACAGUA
rnacentral:misc_RNA from 1 species